rnacentral:rRNA from 1 species
CUAUACAUGCAGUCGAGCGAACAGAGAAGGAGCUUGCUCCUUUGACGUUAGCGGCGGACGGGUGAGUAACACGUGGGCAACCUACCUUAUAGUUUGGGAUAACUCCGGGAAACCGGGGCUAAUACCGAAUAAUCUAUUUUACUUCAUGGUGAAAUACUGAAAGACGGUUUCGGCUGUCGCUAUAAGAUGGGCCCGCGGCGCAUUAGCUAGUUGGUGAGGUAACGGCUCACCAAGGCGACGAUGCGUAGCCGACCUGAGAGGGUGAUCGGCCACACUGGGACUGAGACACGGCCCAGACUCCUACGGGAGGCAGCAGUAGGGAAUCUUCCACAAUGGGCGAAAGCCUGAUGGAGCAACGCCGCGUGAGUGAAGAAGGUUUUCGGAUCGUAAAACUCUGUUGUAAGGGAAGAACAAGUACAGUAGUAACUGGCUGUACCUUGACGGUACCUUAUUAGAAAGCCACGGCUAACUACGUGCCAGCAGCCGCGGUAAUACGUAGGUGGCAAGCGUUGUCCGGAAUUAUUGGGCGUAAAGCGCGCGCAGGCGGUCCUUUAAGUCUGAUGUGAAAGCCCACGGCUCAACCGUGGAGGGUCAUUGGAAACUGGGGGACUUGAGUGCAGAAGAGGAAAGUGGAAUUCCAAGUGUAGCGGUGAAAUGCGUAGAGAUUUGGAGGAACACCAGUGGCGAAGGCGACUUUCUGGUCUGUAACUGACGCUGAGGCGCGAAAGCGUGGGGAGCAAACAGGAUUAGAUAC